CAUUACUGAAUUGUCAAACGGGUUGUUGCUGGCCCUCAUAGGGGGCAUGUGCACGCUCUGUUUACACAUCCACUCACACCUGUGCACCCUCUGUAGUUCUAUGGUCUGGGGGACCCUGUCUUCCUUCUGUGGUUCUACGUCUUUACACACACACUGUAAUAAAGUUUUAUGGAAUGUACAUCGCGUCUAACGCAAUACAAUACAACUUUCAGCAACGGAUCUCUUGGCUCUCGCAUCGAUGAAGAACGCAGCGAAAUGCGAUAAGUAAUGUGAAUUGCAGAAUUCAGUGAAUCAUCGAAUCUUUGAACGCACCUUGCGCCCCUUGGCUAUUCCGAGGGGCAUGCCUGUUUGAGUAUCAUGAACACCUCAACUCUCAUGGUUUGCCAUGAUGAGUUGGACUCUGGGGGUUUUGCUGGCCUGUGGUCGGCUCCUCUCAAAUUAAUCAGCCUCCCAGUGUUUGGUGGCAUCACGGGUGUGAUAAAUAUCUACGCUCGCUGUUGUCUGCCAGGUAACCUUUGGUCACAAAGGUUUGCUGGAGCUCACAGAUGUCUCUCCUCAGCGAGGACAGCUUUUUUAACGUUCGAUCUCAAAUCAGGUAGGACUACCCGCUGAACUUAAGCAUAU
rnacentral:misc_RNA from 1 species